rnacentral:rRNA from 1 species
AGAGUUUGAUCAUGGCUCAGAUUGAACGCUGGCGGCAUGCCUUACACAUGCAAGUCGAACGGCAGCACGGGGGCAACCCUGGUGGCGAGUGGCGAACGGGUGAGUAAUGCAUCGGAACGUGUCCUCUUGUGGGGGAUAACCAGUCGAAAGACUGGCUAAUACCGCAUGAGAUCGAAAGAUGAAAGCGGGGGACCGCAAGGCCUCGCGCGAGAGGAGCGGCCGAUGCCGGAUUAGCUAGUUGGUGGGGUAAAAGCCUACCAAGGCGACGAUCCGUAGCUGGUCUGAGAGGACGACCAGCCACACUGGGACUGAGACACGGCCCAGACUCCUACGGGAGGCAGCAGUGGGGAAUUUUGGACAAUGGGCGCAAGCCUGAUCCAGCCAUGCCGCGUGUGUGAAGAAGGCCUUCGGGUUGUAAAGCACUUUCGGACGGAACGAAAUCGCGCGGUUGAAUACGCCGCGUGGAUGACGGUACCGUAAGAAGAGCA